rnacentral:rRNA from 1 species
ACUCCUGCGGGAGGCAGCAGUGGGGAAUAUUGCACAAUGGGCGCAAGCCUGAUGCAGCCAUGCCGCGUGUAUGAAGAAGGCCUUCGGGUUGUAAAGUACUUUCAGCGGGGAGGAAGGCGAUAAGGUUAAUAACCUUGUCGAUUGACGUUACCCGCAGAAGAAGCACCGGCUAACUCCGUGCCAGCAGCCGCGGUAAUACGGAGGGUGCAAGCGUUAAUCGGAAUUACUGGGCGUAAAGCGCACGCAGGCGGUCUGUCAAGUCGGAUGUGAAAUCCCCGGGCUCAACCUGGGAACUGCAUUCGAAACUGGCAGGCUAGAGUCUUGUAGAGGGGGGUAGAAUUCCAGGUGUAGCGGUGAAAUGCGUAGAGAUCUGGAGGAAUACCGGUGGCGAAGGCGGCCCCAUGGACAAAGACUGACGCUCAGGUGCGAAAGCGUGGGGAGCAAACAGGAUUAGAAACCCGAGUAGUCC